rnacentral:rRNA from 1 species
AACGAACGCUGGCGGCAGGCUUAACACAUGCAAGUCGAGCGCCCCGCAAGGGGAGCGGCAGACGGGUGAGUAACGCGUGGGAAUCUACCCAUCUCUACGGAAUAACGCAUGGAAACGUGUGCUAAUACCGUAUACGUCCUUCGGGAGAAAGAUUUAUCGGAGAUGGAUGAGCCCGCGUGGGAUUAGCUAGUUGGUGGGGGAAAGGCCUACCCAGGCGACGAUCCAUAGCUGGUCUGAGAGGAUGAUCAGCCACACUGGGACUGAGACACGGCCCACGCUCCUACGGGAGGCAGCAGUGGGGAAUAUUGGACAAUGGGCGCAAGCCUGAUCCACCCAUGCCGCGUGAGUGAUGAAGGCCCUAGGGUUGUAAAGCUCUUUCACCGGUGAAGAUAAUGACGGUAACCGGAGAAGAAGCCCCGGUUAACUUCGUGCCAGCCGCCGCCGUAACAC